UAAUGUACAACUGAAUUUCACAAUGUUACAAAGUAUUAUGACCUCAAUUAAAAAGCAAACAAAAACAACCUACUUCUCCUUCCUAGUCUUUCCUGGCAAAAGAUUCUCAAAAUACUCAAAGAGCUAUAACUGAGGAAGCAUACCCGAGGAGCCUCAGCUGCCUUUGGACCUGAUUUAGAUCCUGGAUCUCGAGGUGUGGGGGAUCUCAGGCAAGGGGGAAUGUAUUUUUGCGUUUGAGAGGAAUAUAAAUCAAUGUGUGGCCAGAGGUUGGCCUGAAGAGGUUUCAAAACACGUCCAUAAUUACCUGACAUUCCUCCCAAUAAGAGGGAGGGUAUCUAUGCCCCUCCUCUUAAAUCUGGGAAGAAAGUGGUAACUGUUGAAACCAACAGAAUAAGGAAGAAAUGAUGCUAUGUGACUUCUGAGGCUAGGUCAUAAAAGGCAGUGAGGUUUCUGCCUUGUUUCCUGGAACACUGUACUUGAGCCCUGAGCCACUGUGUCAGAAGUCCGACUACCCUGAGGCUGCCAUAUGUGAAGAAGCCAGGCCACAUGCCAGUACUCCGCUCAGCAGUUCUGGUCUUCAAGUCAUCCCAAGCCCAGACCGCCUGCCAUUAUCAUGUUCUUCAUCUAUGAGCCUGGGGCCUCUCUGGUGAUUUUGGCUUUUCUCCAACGUUGGGCAACACCUGGUACUGUGCUGCAGAUCCCUGGAAUUUCCUGCUCGCCCAUCUGAACCCUGUCUGCCGCAGCUGCCAGUAAAAGGGUGAGACGUGCUGCCAGCUCUGAUAUGCUAAUAGCUAACCUUCUCAGUACUGGCAUCCUCUUCCUUAUGGAGUGUAACAGAGUCUACAUCUUCCCCUUGAAUAAGGCACUUUGAUUCAUUCUCCCGUAUAUUGGUAUCAGUUUAGCAACAAGUUCAACCAGUUUCCUUGCUUAUCAAUGCUUCCUCAAUCCCAUUUCUUUCUCUUAUGUUAGUUUUUCAUCUCAGAACACAUCCUGUAAAUGAUGUAUCUAAUUAUUUCUUACACAGUCUAGGCAGUAAAAUUUGAGGUGGUGCAUUUUUAAAGUGGCUCUAAUUUGCCCUCAGAUUCUUCCCAAACUGACCUAAUUUUACCUAUAGAAAGUAUGAAACAUACCUCAAAUCUAGUCAUGUCAACUUCUUCACUGCUCUCCAAAUAUGAGAGAUUCAUGCCAUAACCUAGUACCUAUACUUUUGUUUACUACUCCCUUUUUUAAUGCCCUCUCUGCUUAUUCAACAAUUUACAGCUCAAGGUCAAAGAACUAAUUCCAACCACCU